rnacentral:misc_RNA from 1 species
UUGUCCAAGUUUUAUUUAUUUAUUUUAUAAAUUACAAUUUUAUAUUAACAAAUAUAAAUUUUCUAUCUCCUUUCAUCAAAUAUCUUCUGCAAGAGGAAUACUUUCUUUGCUUUUCUCUAAGAAUACUCGAUAAGAGAGUAGUUGACGUAAUCGCUUUGCUACUUAUUCUUGAGUAGGGGAAGGUGAGGUUCUAGAAUUCAAUAAAUCAGACAAUAAAUUCUUCAACUUUUAACACACUUUUGUUUUUUUAUGUACACAACCACAACAAAAUCUUAAUUAAUGUAACAAGUCAGCCACAACUCUAAAUCUGGGAUAAGUCUGUUAACAAAGGGACUCCAAACGAUGCUCACCAUGAUUAGCAUUCUCAGCACCUCUGGUUCUGGUAUCUUGACAGUCGACUUUAUCGUAUGGGUCACAACAGCUGGUCCUUGCUGGCUUUGGCUAGCUGAGUCACCUUUGUGAGUUUCAGACGGAGUGUGGUGCUCCUCUUCCGGAUCGACUCCUGGAGUCGAAUGUUCACUGCCUGAGGGGCGUUCUGCGCAAUCCGCCUUCUUCUGUUGACGGAUCAUGGGGAGGGGGCAUGGAUGAAGGAGGCUGAGUCAAACAGUUACGGACCUGUUCCAGUUAUUCAAUCUUUCCCUAUUUAUAUCUCACGGGCUUAGGAGCUUGGAAUCCUCGGCACUUCAAACCUUAGUAGAGUUAGGAGAAAUAGGGGUUGGGUUAGAGCGAGCCGCACGGGAGGAGGCUUUGCCUUUGGGGCUUUCCUUGCUUGCAGGACAUGAACCAGGCGACGUGUUCUCUCACUAUUCACUGGCGGGGGUGACUGGAGUGGAGGCGGCCAGAAGGAUGCAUUUAAUCGUGGAAAUACUGUUACGAGCCACCCACCCCUGGUUAUGGCGGUACGGUGUAGACAGUGUACCUUGGAUCGAUGAGGUCACUCGAAGGCGGACUCGGGUAGAAUUGACAUCGACGGACUAUCUGCUGGUCAGUGAAUCCCGAGAUUACUACGCUGUAGUGAGCGAAAAGGAGCUAUGGAGGUGUCGGGGUCGCCGCCCAUCGUCUGCGCCGCAAUCUCUGGUGUCCCGCAGGACCCCUUCCUGUGUGAGUGUUGCCUUCUUCGGGGACACCGAGGUAAUGCGACAGCGGUGCCAGGGGAUCGUCCACGGGGAUGACUCCCCACUGUGGCUGUGGAAUGAAGAGAGGGACACCUGGACCUACAGCCUGGCGCAACCUGACAAGGUGCUACUCAAGUGCCUAGACGGGAGAUCCGAGGAGCAGAACCUUCAGGGCGCAGGAGUAUUGGAGCUCCCAGAGGGUUGUUCAGCUGAGACCUCUGACCGGCUACUACCACUGAGAUGUUAAGUGUUAUUCACAGAAUAACAUACUUGAAAUCGUCCUAAAAUUUGACCUACCUAGCUACUUAAAUGAGAUCGAUGGUGCCAG